rnacentral:rRNA from 1 species
GACGAACGCUGGCGGUGUGCUUCACACAUGCAAGUCGAACGAGGUAGCAAUACCUAGUGGCGGACGGGUGAGUAACGCGUGGGAAUCUGCCUUUAGAUGGGGAUAACGGGUCGAAAGACUCGCUAAUACCGCAUAUGACGAAAGUUGAAAGGAGUAAUCCGUCUAAAGAUGAGCCCGCGUCCGAUUAGCUAGUUGGUAGAGUAAAAGCCUACCAAGGCGACGAUCGGUAGCUGGUCUGAGAGGAUGAUCAGCCACAAUGGGAACUAGAGACACGGCCAUACUCCUACGGAGGCAGCAGUGGGAAUUUUACGCAAUGGGCGAAAGCCUGACGUAGCGACACCGCGUG